CUCUACUAUGAUCCAGAGGUUGAUAUGCCCUAGCGCUCUUGAGUUUUCAACCCGUUGAUCUGCUAUGUUACACUUGCUGAUACACCUUUUCUUGAUUGAUUUAUUGAAAUAGGAUGAGGGAGUGAUAUCUAAAAUUCUCCUUGUUAUCUUGUGAGCCUGCCAUUGAUUUUUUUAUUCUAUGGAUGUAUCUUUAAAGUUGUUGCCAUAUAGGCUGGUCUUGAUAAAGAUUCAGAGAAUUCGAUCAAAACAUUGACUACUACAAGCCUGAAU